ACUAGCCAACCAAUUAACCAAACAAACAAAAAAGGGCUGGGUCUGUAGAAAUGUAUAAUUUGUCAAACUGUCUCCAGUGAACGCCCCAAAAAAUAUGAUUUGAAGCAUACAUAGUUGAUGUUGUUGAGAACAUAAAAGGAUGACAUUCUCUUAUUUUCCUUGGUUGAUAGCAAAGGGCCUGAACUCUGUCUAAAUGGCUUCUGUUUUUCUUUAGCAAAAACCACAUGUGCCACUAACUAGGCAACUAAGGCCUCUGCAGAAUGAUGAGGUAAGGAUGAAAUCUUUGACGAAGAAACACUGAGCCAUUUGAAUUAUUUUAUAAAGGUUCUUUUUUACUUCCUUCCUACUGGACUCUUUAGAGACUUGAAUAUUGUUCGUCUUCACUUCCUUCUAAACAGGAGGUAGCAUAUGAUCAAGAACCCGAUGGUACUGAAGGAAGAAGUCUCAGCUGCUCUGAAGGCAUUGGCGAAAACAAGGCUCCAGGAACUGACAAAAUACCAACUGAGAUGUUUCAACAAGCGGAUGUACACUGGAAGCGCUCACUCAUCUAUGCCAAAAAAUUUGGAUGACAGCUACCUGGCCAACUGACUGGAAGACAUGUAUGUAUGUGCUGGUUACAAAGAAACCUGAUCCAACAGAAUGUGGAGAUUAUUGAGCAAUAUCCUUAAUAUCCCAUGCAAGUAAAAUUUUGCUGAAGAUAAUUAAAAAAUGGUUGUAGCCAUACAACAGAUUCAGAAGAGGACAUGGAAUGAGGGCUAUCAUUGCUGAUGUCGGAUGAAUCUUGGCUGAAAUCACAGAAUACCAGAAAAAUGUUUACCUGUGUUUUACUGACUAUGCAAAGGCAUUCGACUUCAACUGUGUGGAUCGUAACAAAUUAUGGAUAACAUUGGGAAGAAUGGGAAUUCCAGAACACUUAAUUGUGCUCAUGAGGAGCCUGUAGUUAGACCAAAAGGCAGUGGUUCGAACAGAACAAGGGAAUACUGCAUGGUUUAAAGUUAGGAAAGGUGUGUGUCAGGGUUGUUUUCUUUCACUGUGCUUAUUCAAUCUGUAUGCUCAGCAAAUAACCUAAGAAGCUAGACUGUAUAAAGAAGAACGUGGUGUUGUGAUUGGAACAAGACUCAUUAACAACCUGUGAUAUACAGAUGACACAACCUUGCUUGCUGAAAGUGAAGAGGACUUGAACCACCUAUUGAUGAAUAUCAAAGACUACAGCCUUCAGAAUGGAUUGCACCUCAACAUAAAGAAAACAAAAAUCCUCACAACUGGACCAAUAAACAAACAACAUUAUGACAAAUGGAGAAAAUAUUGAAGUUGUCAAGGAUUUCAUUUUACUUGGAUCCAAAAUCAACACCCAUGGAAGCAGCAGUCAAGAAAUCAAAUGAUGUAUUGUAUUGAGCAAAUCUGCUGUAAAAGACCUCUUCAAAAAGUGUUAAAAAGAAAAUAUGUCACUUUGAGGACUAAGGUGUGCCUGACCCAAGCCAUGGUAUUUUCAAUCACCUCAUAUGCAUGCAAAAGCUACAUAAGGAAUGAGGAAGGCUGGAGAAGAAUUGAUGCCUUUGAAUUAUGGUGUUGCAGAAGAAUAUUGAAUAUACCACGGACUGCCAGAAGAACGAACAAAUCUGUCUCGGAAGAUGUACAGCCAGAAAUCUCCUUAGAAGCGAGGAUGGCGAGACUUUGUCUCCCUUACUUUGACCAUAUUAUCGGGACGGACCAAUCCCUGGAGAAGGACACCAUGCUUGGUAAAGAACAGGGUCAGUAACAAAGAGGAAGACUCUCAAUGAGAUGGACUGGCACAGUGGCUGCAACAAUGGGCUCAAACACAGCAACUAUUGUGAGGAUAGCACAGGACCAGGCAGUGUUUGGUUCUAUUGUACAUAGGGUCACUAUGAGUUGAAACCUGCUGAAUAGCACCUAACAACAGCAGCAACCCUGGUUCCUAGCUCAUUUUGGUCCUCGGUCAGGAUUCCUGUUUGUUUAAGGAUUUGGCUCUUCUGGUGACUUGUCCCACCCAGUUGGACACACCUGAACACUUUGACAUAAGUUUGAAAGCAGAAAUAUCAGCAGAGAAUUAGUCUAUUGAUUUGUAAAGAGAUUGUUGUUGUUAGCUGCCGAUGAGGCCUCUACUCAUGACAACCCGUGCACAACAGAACAAAAUGCUGCGUGGUCCUGCACCAUCCCCAUAAUAGGUUGUGAAUUGUACUGUAUUGAUCCAUGAGGUUUUCAUUGGCUAAUUUUUGGAAGUAGAUCACUAGACCUUUUCUCCUAGUUUGUUAUAGUCUGGAAGCUACGGUUUCAGUAUCACAGCAACACACAAGCCUCCACAACAGAUGGUGGUGGCUGCUCUUGAGUUGCAUUGGCCUGAAGGAAGAACCAGGUCUCGCAGAUGGAAGGUAAUAAUUGUAACACUGAACCACCAUUGCCCUCACAAGAGACUCUAGCCACUACUUAUACUCGCUUUUUCAUUAUUAUAAUGAAUCCUUCCUUUUUUAAAUUAAUUUUGUUGUUGUUGUUGAGAAUAUACACAACAAAACAUAUACCAAUUCAACUGUUUCUACAUGUACAAUUCAGUGACAUUGAUUACAUUCUUUGAGUUGUGUAACUACUCUCACCCUCUUUUUCUAAGUUGUUUCUUUCCCAUUAAUAUAAACUCACUGACCCCUAAGAUUUUUGUCUAUCUUUUGAGUUGCUGUUGUCAUCUUGAUCCCUUAUAGAUUGUUCUUAAAAGAGCGUAAUGCUCAUGGCAGGUAUUUUUUACUAGUUAAGCUAAACUAUUGUUUGAUUUCAAGAAGAUUUCAGGGGAUAGUUUUAGUUUAAGAUUUUUUUUUUUAAUUAACUUUCAUUGAGCUUCAAGUGAACGUUUACAAAUCAAGUCAAACUGUCACAUAUAAGUUUAUAUACACCUUACUCCGUACUCCUACUUGCUCUCCCCCUAAUGAGUCAGCCCUUCCAGUCUCUCGUGACAAUUUUGCCAGCUUCCAACUCUCUCUAUCCUCCCAUCCCCCCUCCAGACAGGAGAUGCCAACACAGUCUCAAGUGUCCACCUGAUACAAGUAGCUCACUCUUCAUCAGCAUCUCUCUCCCACCCACUGUCCAGUCCCUUCCAUGUCUGAUGAGUUGUGUUCGGGAAUGGUUCCUGUCCUGGGCCAACAGAAGGUUUGGGGACCAUGACCGCUGGGAUUCCUCUAGUCUCAUUCAGACCAUUAAGUAUGGUCUUUUUGUGAGAAUUUGGGGUCUGCAUCCCACUGAUCUCCUGCUCCCUCAGGGGUUCUCUGUUGUGCUCCCUGUCACGGCAGUCAUCAGUUGUGGCCGGGCACCAACUAGUUCUUCUGGUCUCAGGAUGAUGUAGGUCUCUGGCUCAUGUGGCCCUUUCUAUCUCUUGGGCUCUUAGUUAUCAUGUGACCUUGGUGUUCUUCAUUCUCCUUUGCUCCAGGUGGGUUGAGACCAAUUGAUGCAUCUUAGAUGGCCGCUUGUUAGCAUUUAAGACCCCAUAUACCACAUUUCAAAGUGGGAUGCAGAAUGUUUUCAUAAUAGAAUUAUUUUGCCAAUUGACUUAGAAGUCCCCUUAAACCAUGGCCCCCAAACCCCCACCCUUGCUC